UACUGCUGGGGGAGCCAUAAAGCUGAGAAAUCCUGUUGGAUUGACCCUUGGAACUUGAACCGGGUUAUACCGGCGUAAGGAAGCAUU
rnacentral:ncRNA from 1 species